rnacentral:lncRNA from 1 species
CAACCACCCACUCAAUCCUAGGGGACCACUAUCAUCCUAACGGCACAUCCUUUCAUCCUAACGGCACAUCCUUACAUCCAACGGCCGAAAACUCAAUAGUAUCAAGGGCUUGAUACUAUUGAUAGUAUAGUAGCAUAUAUAUAUAUAUAUAUAUAUAUAUAUAUAUAGAGAGAGAGAGAGAGAGAGAGAGAGAGAGAGAGAGAAUUAUGCUACUAUACUAUCAAUAGUACAAAGCAGUUGGUGCUAUCGAGUUUUCGGCCAUUGAAUGAAAGGAUGUGUGGUUAGGAUUAUAGUGGUUCCCUAGGGUUGAGUGAGUAAUUGGUUAAAUAGUAUAAUCUAACAGGUGGAAAUGAUCAAAGGGUAGAUCUGACAGCAGAAAACUCGAUAUUACCAAGAACUUGGUAGUAUCGAUAAUAUGGUAGUAUAGUAGCAUAAUUCUCGAUUGUACCAAGAACUUGGUAGUAUUGAUAAUAUGGUAGUAUAGUAGCAGAAAACUCGAUAGUACGAAGAACUGUGCUUCUAAGCUAUUUUCGAUGAUGGGACUUUCAAAUCGACGAUCAGCUCCAUUUAAUUUGAUCUAGCAUAUUUAAAGUAUCUAGAAAAUAAAAUUUGCGGCUUUUCGAUAUCAUUCGAAAGAGUUCAAAAUCAAUAAUUUUAAUGAUUGAUAUAUAUCGUUUGGAAGUUUAACUAUGUAAAAGUAUUCAAACCAGGUAAAAUUUUGGUAGAAAUUUUUUUAUACUAUUUAUUGCUAGAUCAAUAUUUCUGAUAGAAAAUUUUAGUGCUAUAUCGCAACUUUUUAUGAGAUUUUUAUUUUCAACCGUUGAUUUUGAACCUUUUUGAUUGGUAGGGAAAUGAUAUCGAAAAACUAUAAUAUUUAUUUUCUAGAUACUUCAAGUACGUUAGAUCAGGUCUAACGGAGCCAAUCAUCGAUUUGGAAGCUCUAUCAUCGAAAACGGCUUAGGAGUACGAAGGCCUCUGUGCUCCGUUGAUUUUGAACCCUUUUGAUCGCUAGGUAAUUGAUAUCGAAAAAUCGCAAAAUUUAUUUUCUAGAUAUUUGAAAUAUGCUAGACCAAAUCUAACGGAGCCGAUUGUCGAUUUAGAAGUUACAUCAUCGAAAAUAACUUAGGAGUACGAAGACCUCCGUACUCUUAAUAACACACAAGAUCUACCCUAUAUAUAUAAAGAGUUGUGCUGGAAUAAUAGUUAAACUCUCUAUAU